GCUCUAGCCCAAACACGUACUAAAGUUGGAAUGAUACAGAGAAAAUUAGCAUGACUCCUGAACAAAGAUGACUCGCAAAUUCGUGAAGUGUUCCAUAUAUAU